GGGCAAUUGGUCUAGUGGUAUGAUUCUCGUUUUGGGUACGAGAGGUCCCGGGUUCAAUCCCCGGAUUGCCCC
rfam:Ichthyophthirius multifiliis unplaced genomic scaffold scaff_1120509251164, whole genome shotgun sequence.